UACAUGAGGCUGGCCAUAUAUUAUUAGCCCAUUUGUUCACUCGAUUUGAUUGGCAUGCAUUUUCGCAGUUGCUUCCUGGUGGCAAGGAGACUGCUAUUUCUGUAUUUUAUCCAAGGGAGGACAUGGUAGACCAAGGGUAUACUACAUUUGGUUAUAUGAAAAUGCAAAUGGUUGUUGCACACGGAGGACGCUGUGCUGAAAGGAUUCUGUUUGGUGAUGAUAUUAGUGAUGGAGGUAGAGUUGACCUGGAGAAAAUCACCAAAUACAUUGAUGAGACUGAAAAAAUUGCUAUG